rnacentral:rRNA from 1 species
CAAAUCUGGCGUCUUUGGCGUAGAGAGUAAUUUGAAGAAGGUAUCUUUGGGCCCGGCUCUUGUCUAUGUUCCUUGGAACAGGACGUCACAGAGGGUGAGAAUCCCGUGCGAUGAGAUGACCCGGGUCUGUGUAAAGUUCCUUCUCACGAGUCGAGUUGUUUGGGAAUGCAGCUCUAAGUGGGUGGUAAAUUCCAUCUAAAGCUAAAUAUUGGCGAGAGACCGAUAGCGAACAAGUACAGUGAUGGAAAGAUGAAAAGAACUUUGAAAAGAGAGUGAAAAAGUACGUGAAAUUGUUGAAAGGGAAGGGCUUGAGAUCAGACUUGGUAUUUUGCAUGCUGCUCUCUCGGGGGCGGCCGCUGCGGUUUACCGGGCCAGCAUCGGUUUGGAGCGGCAGGAUAAUGGCGGAGGAAUGUGGCACGGCUUCUGCUGUGUGUUAUAGCCUCUGACGAUACUGCCAGCCUAGACCGAGGACUGCGGUUUUUACCUAGGAUGUUGGCAUAAUGAUCUUAAGUCGCCCGUCUUGAAACACGGACC